GGGUCCAUGGUGUAAUGGUGAGCGCUGUGGACUCUGAAUACAGUGAUCAGAGUUCAAGUCUCAGUGGGACCU
rfam:Papio anubis isolate 1X1155 chromosome 1, whole genome shotgun sequence.